GCGCACAAAAUUUCGAGGGUUUUGGGGUCAGGUCAACUGUUUUCAACGCGCUUCUAACUCAGUUAGUCCAAGUAUGGCAUGCAUUGUGCUUAUGUCAACAAAGGACAUACGUACCGUCCAUGCCGUUGCUGAGGCGGGGCAGCAGCAGCUGACGAUUGGAAGAAAGGAAUCAUUAAGGGAAUCGUUAAGAUAAAAUGUAAACAAUAUCGACGGAUUGAACCAUUUGGAACCGGUUCUCAACAAGAACCGUUUCUCGAUUCCCAUCACUACCGAUUGAUAAAAUAAAAGAUCAUCAAUUACUUCAAGCAUAUGCUAUCAAGAAUAUCUAAAACUGAAAUUUGUUUUGUUUUAGGAGUUAUUUGGGGUCAAGUUUUUGCCGUUCUUAGGUGGGGUAUUGAGAAAGACAGGAAGUGUGCAGAGUAGAGUGUGAGAAAAGACAUGCAAGCAAAGUGUGAAGACCAGAAGUUGAAUCAGCGACCUGUGCAAUGAGGACUGUGGCUUCUGUACGUGGAGAGCACGCCAACCACUGAGCCAAACCGGCCCUUUGUGUUGUUUCAUAAAGUUCGAAAAAAUCAAAUAGUUCUUCGAAGCAAGAUAACAAUGUUACGACAUUUGAGUUCUGUUCUUUGCGUUGAAUGUUAUGCAAUUCAGCACACAGAUUCCUGUAAGAAGAAGGUCCUCUAUUUCUGAUGAUACAGACAGAGAAACCUAGCGUAUUUACUGACAAGUCUGUCUUUUUUUGGCAUCCAGCUCUGCCUCAUUAUGUCAUUAUCAAGAAACGAGAAGAUAAAUUACCACAAGAGUUUUUGUUGCUAACGCCCAGACUUAUCAAAGGUGUGUGAAUGCAUACUGUGUUAGCAAAAGGAUGAGAAAGAGGCUAUUUUUGGAGGAGUGUUGCAGCACUGCAGCGCUGGAGGAACACAUUGGGUGAGACUGUGGGUGAUUCUAGCUAACAGCUCUGUGUGCUUGAGUGUGUGGUAAACAAACAUGUCAACAGAUUCAUCAAGACCGGAUGAAGGGGAAGAAAUAAACGUCUGCCUGCUCACCCAAUUGGCUCACUGCAUCACGUGAGGGUGAUAGGAUAAAGUACUUCCGCCUGUUAGGUAUAUCUCUCUCAUUCGGUGUGAAUCUUCAGCAGGGGUUGGGGGCAGGAAACCACUGAGACGUGCAUAGAUAAACAAACCAUAAAUAGAAACCAAGGCCAGGGCCUGCUCUCCCUCUCCUCUCUUUCAAUCUUUUCUCUCUCUCUCUCUUCAUCGCCAUGUAGGUCACCUCCUCUGCUCAGUUUUUUUCUUCCUUCACUGAUUCAUUUCUGUUGACGGCCAUGCAGAGAAUGAAAGAUGUGUCAUCCUCCCUCCUCUCCCUCAUCCUCCGCUGUUUUGGCAGCUUUUAUUCUGGUUGAACUGAACGUUUUUCAACCUCACACUAGUUCUUUUUCAUAAAACCCACACACUGAAUACGACACUAACUCCUCAAUGCAGAUUGUAACCUGUUCCUACGCAUAUUAAAGUCUAACUGACGCAACUGACAAGAUGACAGAGUGCUUACAGGAAGCAGGAAACAUGACAAAAGCAGCACUGCAAUAUGUGUCACAAUCACCUGCUCAGACCAGACAGUGGGACAUGCUUAGGUUUUUAACACGUCUGUUAAAUUUACUCUUUAUCUAUACAGUCCCUACGCUGUUAACCUUUUACCACCAUUAUAGCAAUGCAUUAUGUCCAAAUUAAAGCUUACAAAGGUCUCUACAUGUGCACCUUAAAUGCAUUGUUGAUAUUACAAUUAAAACACUAACAUUAGGAUGUAAUGGUUUGUAAUUUGAUGGUAUUGGGAGUUCUCAGAACUAUGAGCUCAGUAUUUCUUUGUUAACUUCUUAUAGCCCUGUGUAGACCAUACCUUUGUUAUCAUAACAUUAUUUAUCGUAUUUGUUUGUGUGCAUCAUUGUAGGCUUGCGGUGGGAUAAGGUUUAUUUUGAAAUGUGUCCACUUUUUGUCUUAACUAUUUACCCACAUGAUAGAGAAAUAUCUAAUAUUAUCUAGUAUCUAUAUCCUUUCAGUAUAUUGCUCUCCAAAGUAAGGAUGGAUGAAUAUGGUAAAAAUAAUUAUGACAAUUAUUUUGACUGAUACAGACAUCACGAUAAGUAAAGACAAUAAUUCAUUCAAAACUUGAUAGCUAGAUAGAUAGAUAGAUAGAUAGAUAGAUAGAUAUAAAGGGAUUGAUAAAGAGAUGACUUCAAUAAUCCCCGACUGAAAAUUCAAUU